AUAUGAAGGGACAAAAUUUGGGGUUUAAAUAGUAAAAUAUAGAAAAAGAGGCUUUGAAUUAGUUGUGGAGCUUAUUGAAGACCUCAAGCAGUCGGAGCUUGCGCGCAGCACACUCCCCCCACACACAGACGAUACCAAAAAAACUCGCAGAGAGAGAGAGAGACUGAGAGAGAAAUGGGGAUAGUGAGCAAGGCAGGGGAUUGGGCAUUCAAGGCGUUCACGGCGGGGCUCGGCGUCACCACUUUAUACCUCACCGCCACCUUCUCCGCCAAUGUCUACAAAGGCCUCGCCUGGCACAAAGCUCAAUCGAAAAUCGAGAAAGAGGGUGCUACUGCUGAGCAAGCCCCUUAAUUUUGAGUUUUCACGGCAGUCAGGUGCGUCCGGGAACCUUAUCCUCUAUGAACAUUACGGUGUUGGUCUUUGCCCUUCACGUUUUAAGUAAUUGAAUUAGAUUUUGAACCAGUAGAGCCAUCAGUUGGCUUUACUUUUCGGAUGACGCGUUUUAUUUCUAUGUGAUUUCGAUAACUCGAAUAUGUAACUGUUUUUCAAUAUUUACUAAAUAAACUUUUCUGAAUUGGAAAUUCA